rnacentral:lncRNA from 1 species
GUUUUCUAAUGGAGUACACUUUUUCAUCAGCAUACUCCUGUGAAAUUAGAUUAUCAUAAAGCAUCCAAACCAACCUUUACCUAAAAAAAAAAGAAAAUUUCUGAAACUUGAAAUAAACAUCGUAAAAGCGACAUCUCUAACUGACUUUUGUUUACAAGGUACAUCAACUUUGUUCUGGAAGAUUAACUUGGUUAACACUGUGGUUUUACUUCACUGACUCUUACAUUUAUAUUAUUACAUGUAAUGUUCUUAAUUUUGUGUGUUAAAUUAUGUAUACUAAUGUUGUUGGUUGUCGUCCUGAGUGCACAAAGGCAGAUAAAUGCAUCUAUACAUGCAAGAACAAUUAUUUACAUGCCAUUUGUAAGUCAAUAUGCUCCGGGGAUGUCAUUAGCAGAGAUUUGCAGAAUAUAAAUGCAUACCAACAUCCAAAUGAACAGUCGAAGUAAGACAGACAAGGUCAAGACCAAGAAAAGAAACAAGCAGACUAUCAGACCGCUCUAAGCAACACGUGUAGCUCAAAUGAGCUGAAACUCAGGGGACAAAUUGUUUUAGGUUGUAACGUAGAAAACAUAAUAAACUAGAGGCUCUAAAUAGACUGUGUCGCUCACCUUGGUCUAUGUGUAUAUCAUAAACGAAU